AUUGAACGCUGGCGGCAGGCCUAACACAUGCAAGUCGAACGAGUGGCGGACGGGUGAGUAACGUCUGGGCAACUGCCCCAUCGAGGGGGAUUACUACUGGAAACGGUAGCUAAUAACGCCUACCAUCGGAUUUUCCCCGAUGGGAUUAGCUAGUAGGUGGGGUAACGGCUCAACUAGGCGACGAUCCCUAGCUGGUCUGAGAGGAUGACCAGCCACACUGGAACGGAGACACGGUCCAGACUCCGACGGGAGGCAGCAGUGGGGAAUAUUGCACAAUGGGCGCAAGCCUGAUGCAGCCAUACCGCGUGUAUGAAGAAGGCCUUCGGGUUGUAAAGUACUUUCAGCGAGGAGGCGUUACUCGCAGAAGAAGCACCGGCUAACUCCGUGCCAGCAGCCGCGGUAAUAC
rnacentral:rRNA from 1 species